rnacentral:rRNA from 1 species
GGCUCAGGAUGAACGCUAGCUACAGGCUUAACACAUGCAAGUCGAGGGGCAGCAUAACGAAGCUUGCUUUGUGAUGGCGACCGGCGCACGGGUGAGUAACGCGUAUCCAACCUUCCCCUUAGUAGGGCAUAGCCCGGCGAAAGUCGGAUUAAUACCCUAUGUUUUCCGUUGAGGACAUCUGAAGUGGAACAAAGAUUUUAUCGCUAAGGGAUGGGAUGCGUCUGAUUAGGUUGUUGGCGGGGUAACGGCCCACCAAGCCAUCGAUCAGUAGGGGUUCUGAGAGGAAGGUCCCCCACAUUGGUACUGAGACACGGACCAAACUCCUACGGGAGGCAGCAGUGAGGAAUAUUGGUCAAUGGGCGAGAGCCUGAACCAGCCAAGUAGCGUGCAAGGAUGACGGCCCUAUGGGUUGUAAACUGCUUUUGCAUGGGAAUAAAGUGAGGGACGUGUCCCUUUUUGUAUGUACCAUGAGAAUAAGGACCGGCUAAUUCCGUGCCAGCAGCCGC